UACGUAGGGUGCAAGCGUUACUCGGAAUUAUUGGGCGUAAAGCGUGCGCAGGCGGUGAUGUAAGACAGAUGUGAAAUCCCCGGGCUCAACCUGGGAACUGCAUUUGUGACUGCAUCGCUGGAGUGCGGCAGAGGGGGAUGGAAUUCCGCGUGUAGCAGUGAAAUGCGUAGAUAUGCGGAGGAACACCGAUGGCGAAGGCCAUCCCCUGGGCCUGCACUGACGCUCAUGCACGAAAGCGUGGGGAGCAAACAGG
rnacentral:rRNA from 1 species